GUGUGUGCGCGUGUGUGUGCGUGUGUUUUCAGAACUGAACACGGUCCACAGGAAGUUGACUUUCAUCUGAGACACACUCCCUCCUCUGGGUCAUCAUGGAUGUUGGCAGCAACGCGUCUCCAUGGUAACAUGAGGUUGAAUGAUGCUGCUCACAGGCAAAGUUUCCAUCACCUCUCAGGAACUCAGACUGAAUGAUUUCCAGCCGAUCCAGCAGAACCAACCCGGUUCUGUGAUCAGGAGUUGGUUCCACAGUGGGUCUGGACUUUGUUCUGUUCUUCAUGUUUCCAUCUGCAGGUUGAAGCUUUUCCACACCGGUGCAUCACUGGGUCAGCUCCGUGUUUUGAAGGUUUCCAUCUGCAGCCAGAACCAGGAAAGCGAAGCAUUUCUCAGUUUUACCUCCACCUGCAGUCAGACUGGACGGGUUUCAGUCGGCAGCUCAUCUGGCAGGGCCUUAAUGGACGGGUACCGGUCUCAGCGGAGCUGGAGGUGCGCCGCAGCUAAGGACGUAGGACCGAACCUAACUGGACCCUGGAUGGGUCGGACAGAACCACAAUAAAUCAAACAUGGCUCCCGUGUUUACUUUAAUUCAAAGAACCAAAUGAAUUCACAAACAUGACGACUUAAUUAAUUAAACUCACUGCACCGAUUAAAUCAGUUUAUGUUGAAUGUUUGAAACCUGAAUCUAAAGUGUUUUGGAAAUAAACAGGAACUGAAGGUCUGGGGGUUAAAUAUAUUUUAACAGGCAUUAAAGUGAUGAUUUCAGCCUCAUAAACUGCUGAUUUAUGAAGCGAAGUCACAGAAGCUGCAAACAAGGGAAGGAAAUAAUGAAACCACUUCCCUAAAGCCGCGUUCUGCAGGCACGCAGCCCGGUUCGGCCGCGCUCGGCUCGGUUCGGCUUCCUCCACAGUCUCACAACAACAAAAGCCGCAGACUAGCAGCGUGCAGGCUCCGCCCCCUCCUGCUCAAACUCCGUGAUCCCGGCUACCGUAAAGCUCAGAGCAGAGGCGCAGCUGUUUUCAGGGGGAGUGUCGCUCCGCUGCGGCAUGCGCUCCACCACGAGGGGGGGAGGGGAGUCAGUGAUGUAAUGCUGGAUUAAAGGGCAAGUCCGCCCAAAUUUAACCACAUCCAGUUAUUUACAGCACAUCUGAUCAGCACCUUAUGGAGCCACUGUCACCCGCAGGUGGUCGCUUCUACUGAGCCUCAUGCAGAGCAGACGCCUCCGGGUCCGUCCAGGCCAGGUUUAACUGCCUCCGAGUCCGUCCAGGCCCGGAUUAACCGCCUCCGGGUCAGUCCAGGCCCGGUUUAACCGCCUCUGGGUCAGGUUUAACUGCCUCCGGGUCAGUCCAGGCCC